CUAAGAUUGGCACAACUGGAGGAGAACCGUCCAAAUGGAGAUUUUUUCAAGCGGUGCAUGAAGUGAUUGGGGUGCUACCGUGCCAAGAUGCAUCGUCAAUGGUGGAAAGCAUGGAUAACAGCUUUCUGGCCGAUGAAAAUACAUCUUUAGUGACAGACAUGUCUCUUGAAGAGGACUGCCAGGAAGGUGGAGCAUUACCAAAUCAACUACCUGCUGCAGAUCCAGUAGAAGAUGUUGGUGUCGGUAGUCCCCGGCCUGAACUUCCCGAGCUGGAACCAGUAGCUGGUCCAUCAAAUCAAGAAGAUUCUGUUGCACCCCAG